UGAGACAGACUAUCGCAAUGUUCUGCUCCAAGAUAAUGUAGUACUAGUGUUCGAAUUCUGAUUCUUGGAUAUUUCGAGUUGCUACUCUAAGUCUUUUGAAAAGAUUGCAGCUUGAAUAAAAAAGGAAUGAAUGUUCACCGACAAUUCAGAUGAAUUUAACUUCAUUUUAAAAAUAAGUAUCACAAACACUACUUUGCGGAUCUGCCAUUGGCUGAAGAGAAAAUCAAAAGAAAUCUACGCGAGACAGCGUUUCAUUCAUAAUAUUCAUGAAUGAACAUUUUCCCGCGCUAUGUUUUACUCUGUACGAUAUUUACAACUGUUUAUUAUUGAAUAAGUAAAAGCCCG
rnacentral:lncRNA from 1 species